AACGAACGCUGGCGGCAGGCCUAAUACAUGCAAGUCGAACGCACCGCAAGGUGAGUGGCAGACGGGUGAGUAACGCGUGGGAACCUUCCUUGCAGUACGGAAUAACUCCGGGAAACCGGUGCUAAUACCGUAUACGCCCUCCGGGGGAAAGAUUUAUCGCUGCAAGAUGGGCCCGCGUCGGAUUAGCUAGUUGGUGGGGUAAUGGCCUACCAAGGCUACGAUCCGUAGCUGGUCUGAGAGGAUGAUCAGCCACACUGGGACUGAGACACGGCCCAGACUCCUACGGAGGCAGCAGUAGGGAAUAUUGGACAAUGGGCGAAAGCCUGAUCCAGCCAUGCCGCGUGAGUGAAGAAGGCCUUAGGGUUGUAAAGCUCUUUUGGCGGGGACGAUAAUGACGGUACCCGCAGAAUAAGCUCCGGCUAAUUUCGUGCCAGCAGCCGCCGUAA
rnacentral:rRNA from 1 species